GAUGAACGCUGGCGGCGUGCCUAAUACAUGCAAGUCGAGCGAACAGACGGGUGCCUGGCUCUGCUGACGAUAGGCGCACGCGGGUGAAUUACAUCGGGACAACCUCUGUAUAAGGGGGUAGCAACGUGAGGAACGGGUUACUACUGCAUACGAUCUACUGAAACAACAGGGGUCCAUACUGGAAUAGCGCUUUGCGGUUGGCCGAUGGCUGAUUAGCUAGUUGGUGGGGUAAAGGUCUACCAAGGCGACGAUCAGUAGCUGGUCUGAGAGGGCGACCAGCCACACUGGGACUGAGACACGGCCCAGACUCCUACGGGAGGCAGCAGUGGGGAAUUUUGGACAAUGGGCGAAAGCCUGAUGCAGCAAUGCCGCGUGUGUGAAGAAGGCCUUCGGGUUGUAAAGCACUUUUGUCCGGAAAGAAAAACUGGGUCCGAAUACGGUCGCGGGAUGACGGUACCGGAAGAGUAAGCACCGGCUAACUACGUG
rnacentral:rRNA from 1 species